rnacentral:rRNA from 1 species
UAGGGAAUCUUCGGCAAUGGACGAAAGUCUGACCGAGCAACGCCGCGUGAGUGAAGAAGGUUUUCGGAUCGUAAAACUCUGUUGUUAGAGAAGAACAAGGACGUUAGUAACUGAACGUCCCCUGACGGUAUCUAACCAGAAAGCCACGGCUAACUACGUGCCAGCGGCCGCGGUAAUACGUAGGUGGCAAGCGUUGUCCGGAUUUAUUGGGCGUAAAGCGAGCGCAGGCGGUUUCUUAAGUCUGAUGUGAAAGCCCCCGGCUCAACCGGGGAGGGUCAUUGGAAACUGGGAGACUUGAGUGCAGAAGAGGAGAGUGGAAUUCCAUGUGUAGCGGUGAAAUGCGUAGAUAUAUGGAGGAACACCAGUGGCGAAGGCGGCUCUCUGGUCUGUAACUGACGCUGAGGCUCGAAAGCGUGGGGAGCAAACAGG